UACGUAGGGUGCAAGCGUUGCCCGGAUUUAUUGGGCGUAAAGGGCGCGUCGGCGGCUCUGCACGUUCGUUGUGAAAUCGCCCGGCUCAACUGGGCGGGGUCAGCGGAUACGGCAGAGCUUGAGCAAGCUAGGGGGCAAUGGAAUUCCCGGUGUAGUGGUGGAAUGCGUAGAUAUCGUGAGGAACACCAGAGGCGAAGGCGGCUACCUGGACAAUUGCUGACGCUCAGGCACGAAAGCGUGGGGAGCAAAAGGG
rnacentral:rRNA from 1 species